CAUCCUCUCUAGGCGUUAUGAUGUUAAUGCCAUAGGUAGCUUCUAAAACAUGUCUUGGAAUAUUCUGGCAAACGUAGCUUGUCAGGGAAUCCAUUCUCUUGAACGGACUCCCUCCUCCCCAUGGCAUACAAAUCGUGCCUCAAAGAACAUGGCACUUCAUUCCGCGUGUGACAAACACUCUCUCCUCUCCAAAGGAAGAGGAUAGUUUUUGAUUAAUCUAAAAAGACUCAGUUGUUUUUUCCCUUUUAAACAAGGCCUUAAGCUCCCACGACUUUUCCAUAUGAAUUCAUUUAAAAUAGUAAUUUAAAAUAUAUCUGAAACAGACUUUAAAGAUGACACAUUUUUACCCUGAAAAGAUUACGCAUUUGUGAUUCUAAUUUAGAGAUAAAGCAAGGGGAGUCUCUGUUUCUAAUGCCUACAGUUAGGCAGGAUUACUUUUCCUCCUUUGUCUCAUCUCCCAUAGUUUGUCCAAAUUUUCCUUAAGCCACUAACAAUAUUCUACCUUGUACUAGAGUUAUUCAAGUACAUGCCUCAUGUGCCCCAACAGACUGAUGCUUCGUAAAGGGCAGGAGCCAUCUCUAUUUAUGCCCUAUCCUCCACAGCACCUAACCUAAGGCUACCUGCAAUAAAUGAUUCAUGUCUCACUAUUAAUUUACAGAGAAACUUAAAAGGCCAGGCGUGGUGGCUCACGCCUGUAAUCCCAGCAUUUUGGGAGGUCGAGGCAGGCAGAUUAUCUGAGGUCAAGAGUUUGAGACCAGCCUGGCCAACAUGGUGAAACCCCAUCUCUACCAAAAAAAAAAAAAAAAAAUUAACUGGGCAUGGUGGUACAUGCCUGUUAAUCCCAGCUACUCGGGAGGCUGAGGCAGGAGAAUUGCUUGAACCCAGGAGGUGGAGGUUGCAGUGAGCAGAGAUUGCACCACUGUACUCCAGCCUGGGUGACAGAGCGAGACUCCAUCUCA
rnacentral:lncRNA from 1 species